UAAUGUCCAACCUCCAACUACAAAAAAGCACCAUGGAACGGCACUUGAAGUUGAAGUUCUUACUUGUGAACUCAGAGGAAAAAUAUGUACCCCGACUUCACGAGAAGCAGCUGAAUGACGUCACACAACAAUGGCAGCUCCCAUGGAAGCACACAUUGUAAAUGGUCAUCAAAGUUGCCAUGAGCCUAGUUGCCUUGCUGGUGUUUGCAUUUGAGUUUUCAUUUCCUGGACCUGCAUCUGACUGCCAGCCCACUGGUCUGCCAGUUUGCCUACCUGUACCUGCCUGCCUGCCAACACCUGCCUGUAAGCUCAUUCAUGAACAAUAAAUCAUUGAACUGCA